AUUGAACGCUGGCGGCAUGCCUUACACAUGCGAGUCGAACGGUAACAGGUCUUCGGAUGCUGACGAGUGGCGAACGGGUGAGUAAUACAUCGGAACGUGCCCGAUCGUGGGGGAUAACGAAGCGAAAGCUUUGCUAAUACCGCAUAAGAUCUACGGAUGAAAGCAGGGGACCGCAAGGCCUUGCGCGAACGGAGCGGCCGAUGGCAGAUUAGGUAGUUGGUGGGAUAAAAGCUUACCAAGCCGACGAUCUGUAGCUGGUCUGAGAGGACGACCAGCCACACUGGGACUGAGACACGGCCCAGACUCCUACGGGAGGCAGCAGUGGGGAAUUUUGGACAAUGGGCGAAAGCCUGAUCCAGCCAUGCCGCGUGCAGGAUGAAGGCCUUCGGGUUGUAAACUGCUUUUGUACGGAACGAAAAGACUCUGGUUAAUACCUGGGGUCCAUGACGGUACCGUAAGAAUAAGCACCGGCUAACUACGUG
rnacentral:rRNA from 1 species